AUCGCCUGGUGAAGUUUUUUAAUUAUACCUUUGGCCAAAUGAAGAUCACCUUGAAGCUGGCUGAUCUCCUCUUUAGCUUCAUUUCCAACUUUGUCCGAUGCAAUAGCAUACUUUAGCAUCAAUAUUUCAUAUUGGUUCUUGCACAACCAUUUGAUGAAAAAAACUUUUGACACUCCUAUUCUCUAGUUAAUUAGCAUUUCCAACAGACUUCGCAAAUCUAUCAUGCUCUUCAGUUAACCUACAUUUGGUG
rnacentral:lncRNA from 1 species